rnacentral:rRNA from 1 species
AACGAACGCUGGCGGCAUGCCUAACACAUGCAAGUCGAACGAGACCUUCGGGUCUAGUGGCGCACGGGUGCGUAACGCGUGGGAACCUGCCCUUAGGUUCGGAAUAACUCCCCGAAAGGGGUGCUAAUACCGGAUAAUAUCUUCGGCCCAAAGAUUUAUCGCCUUUGGAGGGGCCCGCGUUGGAUUAGCUAGUUGGUAGGGUAAAAGCCUACCAAGGCGACGAUCCAUAGCUGGUCUGAGAGGAUGAUCAGCCACACUGGGACUGAGACACGGCCCAGACUCCUACGGGAGGCAGCAGUGGGGAAUAUUGGACAAUGGGCGAAAGCCUGAUCCAGCAAUGCCGCGUGAGUGAUGAAGGCCUUAGGGUUGUAAAGCUCUUUUACCCGGGAUGAUAAUGACAGUACCGGGAGAAUAAGCUCCGGCUAACUCCGUG